rnacentral:rRNA from 1 species
UACGUAGGGUGCAAGCGUUAAUCGGAAUUACUGGGCGUAAAGCGUGCGCAGGCGGUUAUGCAAGACAGAGGUGAAAUCCCCGGGCUCAACCUGGGGACUGCCUUUGUGACUGCAUAGCUAGAGUACGGUAGAGGGGGAUGGAAUUCCGCGUGUAGCAGUGAAAUGCGUAGAUAUGCGGAGGAACACCGAUGGCGAAGGCAAUCCCCUGGACCUGUACUGACGCUCAUGCACGAAAGCGUGGGGAGCAAACAGG